UACAGAGGUGGCAAGCGUUGUUCGGAAUUACUGGGCGUAAAGGGCGCGUAGGCGGUCUUCUAAGUCAGACGUGAAAUCCCCCGGCUUAACCUGGGAACUGCGUCUGAUACUGGAUGGCUUGAGUAUGGGAGAGGGAUGUAGAAUUCCAGGUGUAGCGGUGAAAUGCGUAGAUAUCUGGAGGAAUACCGGUGGCGAAGGCGGCAUCCUGGACCAUUACUGACGCUGAGGCGCGAAAGCUAGGGGAGCAAACGGG
rnacentral:rRNA from 1 species